rnacentral:rRNA from 1 species
GUAGUCUGCAACCCGACUACAUGAAGCUGGAAUCGCUAGUAAUCGCGGAUCAGAAUGCCGCGGUGAAUACGUUCCCGGGUCUUGUACACACCGCCCGUCACACCAUGGGAGUCGGAAAUGCCCGAAGUCUGUGACCCAACCUUAGGGAGGGAGCAGCCGAAGGCAGGUCGGAUGACUGGGGUGAAGUCGUAACAAGGUAAC